GCUAUCACUCCUACGGGAGGCAGCAAGGUAGGGAAUCUUACCACGAAUGGGCGCAAGCCUGAUGAGCAACACGCGUGAGUGAAGAAGGGUUUCGGCUCGUAAAGCUCUGUUGUUAAAGAAGAACACGUAUGAGAGUAACUGUUCAUACGUUGACGGUAUUUAACCAGAAAGUCACGGCUAACUACGUGCCAGCAGCCGCGGUAAUACGUAGGUGGCAAGCGUUAUCCGGAUUUAUUGGGCGUAAAGAGAGUGCAGGCGGUUUUCUAAGUCUGAUGUGAAAGCCUUCGGCUUAACCGGAGAAGUGCAUCGGAAACUGGAUAACUUGAGUGCAGAAGAGGGUAGUGGAACUCCAUGUGUAGCGGUGGAAUGCGUAGAUAUAUGGAAGAACACCAGUGGCGAAGGCGGCUACCUGGUCUGCAACUGACGCUGAGACUCGAAAGCAUGGGUAGCGAACAGGAUUAGAUACCCUGGUAG
rnacentral:rRNA from 1 species